AAUCUUUGGAAAUUGCAACGAGACCCACGGGUUUGGGAAAAUGCCGAUGAGUUUCGUCCAGAAAGGUUCAUGACGACGCAUGUUGAUUUCGACGUUAGGGGUCAAAAUUUUGAAUACAUGCCGUUUAGCUCCGGUAGAAGGUCAUGCCCUGGAAUCACGUUUGGGUUACAAGUUGUUCACUUGAUGGUGGCAAAACUAAUUCAGGGAUUUGAUAUUAAGACCGCAGAAGGGACUGCGGUGGAUAUGGAAGAAGGCUUAGGACUUGCCUUACCUAAGCUGAAUCCUAUUGAUGUUGUUCUAAGGUCACGCCUUCGUACGGAGUUCUAUGAGUGCCUUGAAGACAUGAAUAAAUACUAGAGAUUUUAAGUAUUUUAUAUUUGAUUAAAUAAAUAAUGUCCAAAUUAAGGUCUUGAAUAUAAG
rnacentral:lncRNA from 1 species